rnacentral:rRNA from 1 species
GCCCAAAAGCUAGCUCAUUUAUUAACCAUUAACAAUAAAAUAUUAAUAUACCUUAAUAUUCUAAAAAUAAUAAACAAACCAUUUCUAAAUAUCUUAGUAUAGGCGAUAGAAAAGAAAUUAUGGAAGCUAUAGAAAAAGUACCGCAAGGGAACGCUGAAAGAGAAAUGAAACAACCUAGUAAAGCAAAAAAAAGCAGAGACAAAACCUCGUACCUUUUGCAUCAUGAAUUAGCAAGACUUAAUUAUGCAAAAAGAUUUCUAGUUUAAUACCCCGAAACUAAGUGAGCUACUCCGAGACAGCCUAAAAAUAGGGCAAACACGUCUCUGUGGCAAAAGAGUGUGAAGAUCUCUGAGUAGAGGUGAUAAACCUACCGAACUUAGUUAUAGCUGGUUGCCUGAGAAUUAAAUAAAAGUUUAGCCUUUUCUUUUCUCAAAUUAAUACUGACCAAAUCAUAAUAAAACAAUUCAAGAAAAGUAAAGAGUAAUUCAUAAGGGGUCCAGCCCUUAUGAAUAAGAAUACAACCUUAUAAGAAGGAUAAUGAACAUAACCCUUUAAAGUAAAUAUUUAAGUAGGCCUAAAAGCAGCCACCUUAAAAAAAAGCGUUAAAGCUUAAAUAUACUUACACUUUUAAUAAAGAUCAUUUAAAUCAUAUUCCUCUACUCCUAUCAGGCUAACCCAUCAUUAUAUGGAUGUAAUUAUGCUAAUAUGAGUAAUAAGAGACAUACCUCUCCAAACAUCCAUGUAAAUCGGAACGGAAAGACCCCCGAAAAUUAAUCGGUCCCAAACAAAGAGGGAAAUGAAUUACAAAAAGAGAACUAGAAAAUCUUACAUAAAUAUACCGUUAAACCUACACUGGCAUGCUUAUUUUAAAGGAAAGAUAAAAAGAAAAAGAAGGAACUCGGCAAAUAUUUUUAAUUAGCCUCGCCUGUUUACCAAAAACAUCGCUUCUUGUCAUAACAAUAUAAGAAGUCCCGCCUGCCCUGUGAUAAAAAUUUAACGGCCGCGGUAUUUUGACCGUGCAAAGGUAGCGCAAUCACUUGUCUUUCAAAUGAAGACCUGUAUGAAUGGCAUAACGAGGGCUUAACUGUCUCCUUUUUCCUAUCAAUGAAAUUGAUCUCCCCGUGCAGAAGCGGGGAUUAAAACAUAAGACGAGAAGACCCUAUGGAGCUUAAAACGCAAGAACAGAACAUGCUCUUUCACAUAAUUAAAAAAUGAAAUCAAUUGAAACCUGUCCAAAUGUUUUUGGUUGGGGCGACCACGGAGUAUAAUAGAACCUCCAUGAGGAAUAAAGGUAUUCCUUUUAAUUUAAGGGUGACAACCCUAAAAAACAGAAUUUCUGACCACCUUGAUCCGGCAAAGCCGAUCAACGGACCGAGUUACCCUAGGGAUAACAGCGCAAUCCUCUUUUAGAGUCCAUAUCGACAAGAGGGUUUACGACCUCGAUGUUGGAUCAGGACAUCCUAAUGGUGCAGCCGCUAUUAAGGGUUCGUUUGUUCAACGAUUAAAGUCCUACGUGAUCUGAGUUCAGACCGGAGUAAUCCAGGUCAGUUUCUAUCUAUGAAAUAUUUUAUUUUAGUACGAAAGGAUUAAAUAAAAAAGGCCAAUAAUUUAAUUAAGCCUUCUCCUAACCUAAUGAAAUCAACUAAAUUAGAUAAAAGGACAUAAAUUAUAAGGGAAUAUAACCCUUA